rnacentral:lncRNA from 1 species
GCUUUUCCUUCUUCUUCUUCUUUCUUUCUUAUUAAUAUGGAGACUCUAGCCUAUUGGCUUUUUCUCCGAAUUACUCCGCUUGGAAUUUAGGUGAAGCGGUUGGUGCGGUGAACGAAACGCUCCAAGAUUUCGAUACGUUGGCGGGGAGGAAGGUCUGUAUGAGGCCAGUAUAUCGGAGUUAAGGUGCGGACGAUCGUGAGGUCCAAGGUUAAAAGACGGCCUAGCUCUUGGCGGGCCCGUGUGUAUUUCGGGCAGACAAGCCAAUAGUGUGCGGAAGUUUCUGACGAGCCACAGUGGGGGCAGUUUGGCGAGGCGCUUUGGCGUCGAGAAUAGAGGAAGUUGUUCAGGGGGGCCGUAUCUGUUCGAAGUCUAGCCAAUAGGGUUUCUGUGUGGCGAGACGAGGCGUCAUGGUAUAUCCGCUUUUCCUUGCCGCGCCGAAUGUGUAAAUACUCCUUUAUUGUGACGUCAUGAAUGUCGUAUAAAUGUGCGCAUUGCCUGGUAAAGCGGCUUUGAUAAACAGUGAUACCUCGGUUUUCGUCGAUAAUCCGUCUGAAAACAAUCGGUGAAAUCUGAAACCGACGAAAACCGAGGCAAUUAUUUCCAUAUGAAUCAAUGUAAAUUCAAUUAAUUUGUUCUAGACACUCCAAAAUACAUACCAAAAACACAUUUUAUAAAGAGUAAAUAGAGUGUUUAAUACUGAAAACGAUAAGAAAUUAAUAUAAAAUGAAUAUAAAAGACUAAUGUAAAUAAUAAAUGAACGUUUAACAUGAUAUUCAAAAAGCUGCUGGCUGUGGAAACUUUCAUUGGUCCCAUGAUGAAGCUAAAAGGGAAGGAAACAAUGGAAUUGUUUGGCUUUUUUAAACUCUUUCUGCCCUGUGGGCACUAAAAGGGCCUCUUUUAGCAAGCUCAUUAUGGGUUCUUCCAGGCCCACAACGGGGUAGCGGCUGGGGUGAGUGAUGGGGCCCUACAUAUCUGGAUGGUCCACUCCUGAAAAAUUCCUGGGGAUUUUUCGAUCCAUGCGCAUUAGAUCCUGGGUCCCCCAGAGCAGUAGGCUGCCACCUAUGACCACUCGGCCAUCUGGCUGUCAUAAAGGAGUUGUUUGACUAAACAUAAGGGGAGGUAAUUCUCACACAACGAGAAACAACGCCACACUGAGCAGGAAAAUGCGUGGAUUGCCCUUUGUUUUCACAAAAUUGGCAGUAAGGUCACAUCAGCAUGCCAAAGAAAUCUGAGACAACCAACGAAAACCAAGACAAAUUUUUUGUGAAAAAUCGACAAUAACCGAAGUCAACAAAAACUGAGAACAUCAGAAUGUCAAUAAAGAACUCAAAUCCUAAGAUCAACAACCCGCAGAUGGAAUCAGAAUUUGGCAUUGGACUAAAUGUUGAUGUCAACCUCUCCUGUGACCUGAGUUGGUCUCAAAUUUUCCCUAGAAACAGGUAAAAGACCAAUUGGAAAGUAUGAACAAGAAACUGAGACCAAUUGGAGUGACAAUCAAUGGACCAAACAGUGAAAAAAAUCUGUAUCUAAAGUUUUAUCCAACUACAAGACAUGCCUCACAUUCUUCAAGAUAAUCUGGAAGAAGAGGUGCAAAGUGCCAAAACCACUAUACAAGAUGAAAGUGGAAAACCUAAGAAAACCUAACUGUGGAAAAAAUUUAGAAAGUGAUUGCAAAAGUCAAUAUCAAUGUGUGGCCCAAUGACAACUCAAAUAGUGCUCAAAGUAGUGAUAUGUUAUAUUGUAUUUUUUCCCUAUUUUCCAUAUUCCUUUGUAUUGUAUUUUGUGUAUAUAUUACCUUUUCAAAUAAUAAUUAUAACAUAUAAUAAUGAAAAAAACAAUGGUAAAUACUAUUUAAUCUGAAACUGUCUGUCCCCAGCACAGGUUGUGCCUGCUCAUUUUAAAAUACAGAUUGUACCUGACGAAAGGUUAAUUAUUGUUUAAAAUUUAUAUUAAAAUUAAAUAUAUGUAUAUUGUAUUGCAAACAUCAAAAUAAAAUUCUUUUAAGUUUACAAUCA